CAGUCGCCGCGGUAAUACGAAGGGUGCAAGCGUUAAUCGGAAUUACUGGGCGUAAAGCGUGCGUAGGCGGUGAGUUAAGUCUGCUGUGAAAUCCCCGGGCUCAACCUGGGAAUGGCAGUGGAUACUGGCUCGCUAGAGUGUGUCAGAGGAUGGUGGAAUUCCCGGUGUAGCAGUGAAAUGCGUAGAGAUCGGAAGGAACAUCUGUGGCGAAGGCGACUAUCUGGGCCAACACUGACACUGAGGCACGAAAGCGUGGGGAGCAAACAGGAUUAGAUACCCGCGUAGUCCCUGUCUCUUAUAC
rnacentral:rRNA from 1 species